rnacentral:rRNA from 1 species
UAAGGAAUAUUGGGCAAUGGAGGCAACUCUGACCCAGCCAUCCCGCGUGAAGGAUUAAGGCCCUAUGGGUUGUAAACUUCUUUUGUUUGGGAAGAAAUCAGGACAUUUAUGUGCUGUUGACGGUACCUUACGAAUAAGCACCGGCUAACUCCGUGCCAGCAGCCGCGGUAAUACGGAGGGUGCAAGCGUUAUCCGGAAUCACUGGGUUUAAAGGGUGCGUAGGCGGUUUGAUAAGUCAGAGGUGAAAGCUAGCAGCUUAACUGUUAAAUUGCCUUUGAUACUGUCAGACUUGAAUCAAGUUGAGGUAGGCGGAAUGUGACAUGUAGCGGUGAAAUGCAUAGAUAUGUCAUAGAACACCAAUUGCGUAGGCAGCUUGCUGGGCUUGAAUUGACGCUGAGGC